AUUGAACGCUGGCGGCAGGCCUAACACAUGCAAGUCGAGCGGCUGCACGGUAAUUGCUCCUUGUUACAGCUGCCGACGGGUGGGUAAUUCCUGAGUACAUCCCUAUUUACUUUUUCUAAGGUCCUAACACGGGGACACUUACGCCAUACGUCCUUACGGCCUACGGGGGGAAGCUUCGGACCUCCCGCCCUCACACGAUUCUAGGUCGGAUUAGCUAGUUGGCGGGGUAAAGGCCUACCAAGGCGACGAUCCGUAGCUGGUCUGAGAGGAUGAUCAGUCACACUGGAACUGAGACACGGUCCAGACUCCUACGGGAGGCAGCAGUGGGGAAUAUUGGACAAUGGGCGAAAGCCUGAUCCAGCCAUGCCGCGUGUGUGAAGAAGGUCUUCGGAUUGUAAAGCACUUUAAGUUGGGAGGAAGGGCAGUAAGUUAAUACCUUGCUGUUUUGACGUUACCAAAAGAAUAAGCACCGGCUAACUUCGUG
rnacentral:rRNA from 1 species